UGCAGUCGUACGCUUCUUUUUCACCGGAGCUUGCUCCACCGGAAAAAGAGGAGUGGCGAACGGGUGAGUAACACGUGGGUAACCUGCCCAUCAGAAGGGGAUAACACUUGGAAACAGGUGCUAAUACCGUAUAACAAUCGAAACCGCAUGGUUUUGAUUUGAAAGGCGCUUUCGGGUGUCGCUGAUGGAUGGACCCGCGGUGCAUUAGCUAGUUGGUGAGGUAACGGCUCACCAAGGCCACGAUGCAUAGCCGACCUGAGAGGGUGAUCGGCCACAUUGGGACUGAGACACGGCCCAAACUCCUACGGGAGGCAGCAGUAGGGAAUCUUCGGCAAUGGACGAAAGUCUGACCGAGCAACGCCGCGUGAGUGAAGAAGGUUUUCGGAUCGUAAAACUCUGUUGUUAGAGAAGAACAAGGAUGAGAGUAACUGUUCAUCCCUUGACGGUAUCUAACCAGAAAGCCACGGCUAACUACGUGCCAGCAGCCGCGGUAAUACGUAGGUGGCAAGCGUUGUCCGGAUUUAUUGGGCGUAAAGCGAGCGCAGGCGGUUUCUUAAGUCUGAUGUGAAAGCCCCCGGCUCAACCGGGGAGGGUCAUUGGAAACUGGGAGACUUGAGUGCAGAAGAGGAGAGUGGAAUUCCAUGUGUAGCGGUGAAAUGCGUAGAUAUAUGGAGGAACACCAGUGGCGAAGGCGGCUCUCUGGUCUGUAACUGACGCUGAGGCUCGAAAGCGUGGGGAGCAAAC
rnacentral:rRNA from 1 species